rnacentral:rRNA from 1 species
UUGUAAACCUCUUUUGACAGGGACGAAGCGCAAGUGACGGUACCUGUAGAAGAAGCACCGGCCAACUACGUGCCAGCAGCCGCGGUAAUACGUAGGGUGCGAGCGUUGUCCGGAAUUACUGGGCGUAAAGAGCUUGUAGGCGGUCUGUCACGUCGAUUGUGAAAACUUGCAGCUCAACUGCAAGCUUGCAGUCGAUACGGGCAGACUAGAGUACUUCAGGGGAGACUGGAAUUCCUGGUGUAGCGGUGAAAUGCGCAGAUAUCAGGAGGAACACCGGUGGCGAAGGCGGGUCUCUGGGAAGUAACUGACGCUGAGAAGCGAAAGCGUGGGUAGCGAACAGGAUUAGAUACCCUGGUAGUCCACGCCGUAAACGGUGGGUACUAGGUGUGGGUUUCCUUCCACGGGAUCCGUGCCGUAGCUAACGCAUUAAGUACCCCGCCUGGGGAGUACGGCCGCAAGGCUAAAACUCAAAGGAAUUGACGGGGGCCCGCACAAGCGGCGGAGCAUGUGGAUUAAUUCGAUGCAACGCG